rnacentral:rRNA from 1 species
AUACGUAGGCAGCAAGCGUUGUUCGGAAUUACUGGGCGUAAAGGGUGCGUAGGCGGCGCUGUAAGUUUGGUGUGAAAUCUCCCGGCUUAACUGGGAGGGUGCACUGAAAACUGGAGCGCUCGAGUAUGGGAGAGGAAAGCGGAAUUCCUGGUGUAGCGGUGAAAUGCGUAGAGAUCAGGAGGAACACCUGCGGUGUAGACGGCUUUCUGGACCAUCACUGACGCUGAGGCACGAAAGCGUGGGUAGC